rnacentral:rRNA from 1 species
UAACAAGGAUUCCCCUAGUAACGGCGAGUGAAGCGGGAUGAGCUCAAAUUUAAAAUCUGGCAGUCUUUGAUUGUCCGAGUUGUAAUCUAGAGAAGCGUUUUCCGCGCUGGACUGUGUACAAGUUUCCUGGAUACGGAACAUCAUAGAGGGUGAGAAUCCCGUCCUUGACACAGACUCCCAGUGCUCUGCGAUGCGCUCUCGACGAGUCGAGUUGUUUGGGAUUGCAGCUCAAAAUGGGAGGUAAAUUCCUUCUAAAGCUAAAUAUUGGCGAGAGACCGAUAGCGAACAAGUACCGUGAGGGAAAGAUGAAAAGCACUUUGGAAAGAGAGUUAAACAGUACGUGAAAUUGUUAAAAGGGAAACGAUUGAAGUCAGUCGCGUUUGCUUGGACUCAGCCUUACUUCGGUAUGGUGCAUUUCCUUGCGAACGGGCCAGCGUCCAUGUUGUCCGUCGGAAAAGGUGCGUGGGAAUGUGGCUUCUUCGGGAGUGUUAUAGCCCAUGUUCGUAUACGGCGUGUGAUAUGGAGUGGUACAGCAUGCUUCGGCGGUGCUUGUGCUGGCAUAAU